CCAGGAGGUCAAGGCUUCAGUGAGCCGUGAUCACACUACUGUACUCCAGUGACAGAAUGAGACCCUGUCUCUCAAAAAGAAACAAAAAAUGCAUUAUUUCUGGGUAAACCACAGAUACACUGGGCUGUCUUUCUAUUUUUAGGGACCAGAUUUGGGGCAGUUCUUAGGGAUUUCUGAAGCCCAUGUCAGGCAACAUUGAAUGUGGCGAUGAAGUGGGCAAUGGGGACACAGAUGCAGUGAGUAGCUGGGGCCCCGGGCGAUAGCUGCUGCCUGUGGUCCUGUGGGAGGGGUGAGCACACUUGCUGUUCAUGUGUAGAGAUGCGUGCUUCUGUGGGUGAGCUUGGGGAUCCCCUCCCCUCAGCUGUGGGGACCUGAGGUGACAUCACAUAUCCCGGAAGCAGAGGGCUCAGCAGCUGGGAGUGCCCUGGGCCUAUGCGAGUGGGCUGGCAUCUGCUUACCUUCAGGCCCAGGCCUUGCUGGGAUUUGGGGCUUGCCGAGGCCCCAGGCCCCGUGGGUGCAGAGCAGCUGCUGCCACUAGGUGGUGCCCCUGCCUUGGUGAUCCUUCCCACAGCCAUUUCUCUUUGGUCUCUUUGGCCUUGUGUUCCCACCACCCUCCCACCAUGGGACUUGCUUGCUGACACCAGGGUUGUAGUUGAUGGGGAUGUGAGGGGCCUGUGGCCACUGUUCCUGCCUGCCUUUAGUGGGGUGCUUCUGGCUGUCUCAUGCCUGCCCGGUUUCUGACCAGCAUCCUGGGGACCCUCAGGCCCCAGGGCUAUGAGCCCCUGGUAUUGAGGCCAGGUGUCCUCUGUAUGGCCCUUCCCUAAUGACAGGACUCUGGUGUCCUGCAGUCCUCAGAGGGCUCUUUGGCCUCACCCCGGACUUGGAUGUACCCUGCCUGAGCCCCAGGAGAGAGUGGCCUCCUCACCCUCUUCCCCAUGUGAGGCUUCUUACGUCUUAGGAGAGGAGGCUGGGCGAGUUGGCUGGGGCGAGUCAGUGAAACCAUGGGAAGACCCCGUGGAACGAGGUCCUUAUGUGUCACGCAGGCCUGGGCACAUGCGACAUGUCCAGCACACAGGGUCAUGCAGGUUGUGGGCAUAUUAGUUUCUACAACUUUGAAGUCACAGGCAGGAAGGGGACACUGCGUGUGGAUGAGCCUGUGUGAAUACAUGUGGGGAAGGGCAGGAUGCCAGUGCCAGUAGUGUGAUGUUGAUACGCUUUCCCUUAGGGUGUUGGGCACUGGGCUGAGGGAGUUAGCAGCAGUCUGGCACAGGAGGAGGAGGAGGUGUAAUCAAGAGAGGCCAGUGGGAAAGAUGUGUGAGAGUGGAGGCCAUCUGGGAAUGCAGGGUGCUUCUCUUUGGAAAAUCACCUAUUUCAGUAGAAUGAGAAAGGGGUGCAGGCCAUCUCUGUAGGCAAGCAGCACAACCAUUGAUAACAAUCCCAAACGCAUUUGUGGUUGAAAAUUCUCAGCAAGCUAAGAAGAGAAGAGAAAUUCCUCAACCAGGUAAAAGACACCUGCGGAAAACCACAGCUGAUAUAAUAUAAGGGUGAAACUGACUGCGUCCCUGACACAGAGACCAGGCAGGGUGUCUGUUCCCGCCACCCCUGGUCGCACUGUGCGGGAGAUCUUCACCAGUAUAAUUAGGCAGGCAAAAAGAAAAGGUAGCUAGACUAGAAAGGAGGAAGUAAACCUAUACCUGGAGACAACAUAAUGAUCUGUAGAAGUUUCCAGAGUGUCAAUGACAAGCCAGUAGGACUAAACAGUGAGGUUUACAGGGUCACAGCAUACAAGGACAGUGUACCAAAAUAGGUUACGUUUCCGUAUGCUAGCAAUGAGCCACUGGAGUACAUACCACAUGUGACGGCAUCAAAGUCCAUGAAAAUACUCAGGGAUGCAUGUAAGAAAAUCUGUGUAAGAUUUGUACACUGAGAAGCUUCAGAUGCAACUGAGACAUUAAGAUCACCUAAUAUAAAAAAAUAGAGACAUCAUAAGGGGAAAAAGGAACUCUUUUCCGCUCUGCUCUCACAUAGCCACUGACUCAGUACUUCUGACAUCAGAUACUGGAAGGUUCCCCACACACCAGCCAGUUCUCCAGGGGAUACCAGCUGGGUGUCCUGCAGCCUCAUCUGUACUCUCUCCACCUGGAGUUAGUAUCAGCUCCCCCGGGAUCAGGGCCAGUCCCACACGUCUGGGCCCCACUUCAGAUUCUGAUUGCAAGGUAGUAGGCUGUCAUCUAUGCUUCAUUGUACUGUUUUCUCCUCUCCCUCUGUCACUGACAUCAGCUGUACUUCUGACUAGCAGGCUAUUAAAGGAGGCUCCUAUAACCCAUUCCUUGGGUUUAAUUAAUUUGCUAGUGUGACUCUCAGAACUCAGGAAGACAUUUUCUUACGUUUACUCCUGUGUUAUAAAGGAUGUUAGGAUGCCUGAAUUGAACCUUAGAAAGACUGGAAAAAAAAAAUAAAGGAUGUUAGGAAUAAUUCAGGUCAACAGGUCUGUAGAGUGAGGUACGAGGGGAGGUGUGGAGCUGCCAUGCCCUCUCUGGGUACACCACCCUCCAGGACCCUCCAUGUGUGCAGCUCUGAACCCUGGCCUUAUUAUGGGUUUUUACAGAGGCUUUGUCACAUAAGCAUGAUUGAUGACACCACUGGCCAUUGGGAAUCAACUCAACCUUCCGCCCCUCUCCCCUUCUGGGAGAUUGAGGGGUGUGACUCAAAGUCCCAACCCUCUAAUUCCACCUUGGUGUUUCUGGUGACCAUCCUAUCUGAAGCUGCCUGGGGGCUGCCAACCACCAGUCAUGUGUGUCAAGGAAUGGAAAGGCC